GGUGUAGACGCGCGUUGGAAAAGCAUUGGCCCGGAAAGCCAAAGAUCCCGGGUUCAAGCCCCGCCUGCGUCA